UACGUAGGGACCGAGCGUUGUCCGGAAUUACUGGGUGUAAAGGGUUCGUAGGCGGUGUGGCAAGUUGGGAGUGAAAUCUCUGGGCUCAACCCAGAGGCUGCUUCCAAAACUGCUGUGCUUGAGUGUGAGAGAGGCUCGUGGAAUUGCAGGUGUAGCGGUGAAAUGCGUAGAUAUCUGCAGGAACACCCGUGGCGAAAGCGGCGAGCUGGAUCACUACUGACGCUGAGGAACGAAAGCUAGGGGAGCAAACAGG
rnacentral:rRNA from 1 species